rnacentral:rRNA from 1 species
GUGAGGAAUAUUGCGCAAUGGAGGCAACUCUGACGCAGCCAUGCCGCGUGCAGGAAGAAGGCGCUACGCGUUGUAAACUGCCUUUAACCGGGAAGAAACCCCAGGACGUGUCCUGGGUUGACGGUACCGGAGGAAUAAGCACCGGCUAACUUCGUGCCAGCAGCCGCGGUAAUACGAAGGGUGCAAGCGUUAUCCGGAUUCAUUGGGUUUAAAGGGUGCGUAGGCGGAGCGUUAAGUCAGUGGUGAAAUCCUGCAGCUUAACUGUAGACUUGCCAUUGAUACUGGCGCUCUUGAGUGCGCUUGAAGUGGGCGGAAUGUGCCGUGUAGCGGUGAAAUGCUUAGAUAUGGCACAGAACACCAAUUGCGAAGGCAGCUCACUAAGGCGAUACUGACGCUGAGGCACGAAAGCGUGGGGAUCGAACAGGAUUAGAAACCCUAGUAGUCC